rnacentral:other from 1 species
AGUAGGACUAGCAAAAUAAGGGGGGUAGCAACAGUGGCGAGUUCGUUGGAUGGCUGAAGCCCUGAGUACAGGGUAGUCGUCAGUGGUUCGACGCUUUGGAGGACAAGCCUCGAGAUGCCACGUGGACGAGGGCAUGCCCACAGCACAUCUUAACCUGGACAGGGGUCGUUCAGGUGAAAACGGUUUAACCAACCGCUACGAAUACAGUCUGAUAGGAUGCUGCAGAGGCCCACUGUAUUGCUACUGAAAAUCUCUGCUGUACAUGGCACAUGGAGUU